UACGAAGGGGACUAGCGUUGUUCGGAAUUACUGGGCGUAAAGCGCACGUAGGCGGAUUUGUAAGUCAGGGGUGAAAUCCCGGGGCUCAACCUCGGAACUGCCUUUGAUACUGCAAAUCUCGAGUCCGAUAGAGGUGGGUGGAAUUCCUAGUGUAGAGGUGAAAUUCGUAGAUAUUAGGAAGAACACCGGUGGCGAAGGCGGCCCACUGGGAUCGUGUACG
rnacentral:rRNA from 1 species